GUUAGCAUUCCCCUUGAUAAGGAUGGAAGAGGUCCAAGUGACCUUCACAACACACAUAUGGUUAAGGCAUUGCCACUUACUUUGUGGCAUCUAAUAUUGUUAAUGU